GACGAACCGUGCGAACGUUGUUCGGAAUCACUGGGCUUAAAGGGCGCGUAGGCGGGUUGCCGCGUCCGGGGUGAAAGCCCUCAGCUCAACUGAGGAAGUGCGCCCGAAACUGCAGAGCUUGAGUGCCGGAGAGGGUGGCGGAAUUCCCCAAGUAGAGGUGAAAUUCGUAGAUAUGGGGAGGAACACCGGUGGCGAAGGCGGCCACCUGGACGGUAACUGACGCUGAGGCGCGAAAGCGUGGGGAGCAAACAGG
rnacentral:rRNA from 1 species